UACGUAGGGACCAAGCGUUGUUCGGAUUUACUGGGCGUAAAGGGCGCGUAGGCGGCGCGGUAAGUCACUUGUGAAAUCUCUGAGCUUAACUCAGAACGGCCAAGUGAUACUGCAGUGCUAGAGUGUGGAAGGGGCAAUCGGAAUUCUUGGUGUAGCGGUGAAAUGCGUAGAUAUCAAGAGGAACACCUGAGGUGAAGACGGGUUGCUGGGCUGACACUGACGCUGAGGCGCGAAAGCUAGGGUAGCAAACGGG
rnacentral:rRNA from 1 species